rnacentral:rRNA from 1 species
CCAAGCAGCCGCGGUAAUUCCAGCUCCAAUAGCGUAUAUUAAAGUUGUUGUGGUUAAAAAGCUCGUAGUUGGAUCUCAACAGCCUUGAAGCGGUUAACUUUGUAGUUUUACUGCUUUAUAGGCUGUGCUUUUGCUGGAGGUUUAGGGGUGCUCUUGAUCGAGUGUCUCUGGAUGCCAGCAGGUUUACUUUGAAAAAAUUAGAGUGCUCAAAGCAGGCUAAAAUGCCUGAAUAUUCGUGCAUGGAAUAAUAGAAUAGGAUGUCGAUCCUAUUUUGUUGGUUUUCGGGACUCGACAUAAUGAUAAAUAGGGACAGUCGGGGGCAUUUGUAUUCAAACGACAGAGGUGAAAUUCUUGGACCGUUUGAAGACAAACUACUGCGAAAGCAUUUGCCAAGAAUGUUUUCAUUAAUCAAGAACGAAAGUUAGAGGUUCGAAGGCGAUUAGAUACCGCCCUAGUUCUAACCAUAAACGAUGCCAGCUAGCGAUCUGCCUGCGUUUUUACUGUAGACUGGGCAGGAAGCUUCCGGGAAACCAAAGCAUUUGGGUUCCAGGGGAAGUAUGGUUGCAAAGCUGAAACUUAAAGGAAUUGACGGAAGGGCACCACCAGGAGUGGAGCCUGUGGCUUAAUUUGACUCAACACGGGAAAUCUCACCAGGCCCGGACACUGGAAGGAUUGACAGAUUGAUAGCUCUUUCUUGAUUCGGUGGGUGGUGGUGCAUGGCCGUUCUUAGUUGGUGGAGUGAUUUGUCUGGUUAAUUCCGAUAACGAACGAGACUCUGUCCUGCUAAAUAGUUUCUACUUCUCUUUUGAGUAGAAAUUUCUUCUUAGAGGGACUGGUGACUCUUAGUCACACGAGAUUGAGCAAUAACAGGUCU